rnacentral:rRNA from 1 species
CCUACGGGAGGCAGCAGUGGGGAAUAUUGCACAAUGGGCGAAAGCCUGAUGCAGCCAUGCCGCGUGUAUGAAGAAGGCCUUCGGGUUGUAAAGUACUUUCAGUUGUGAGGAAGGGGGUAGUGUUAAUAGCGCUAUCUCUUGACGUUAGCAACAGAAGAAGCACCGGCUAACUCCGUGCCAGCAGCCGCGGUAAU